CACAUAAAGUGGGUAUGCCACUUUAAGAGAAGAGGUUAAGGAAGCUGGGUGGUCUGCCUGGCCAAUGAGAAGUUUGGUUUCCAGAGCGUCUGGACCAAUCAGGGUGCAGGCUGCCGUUGUGGAUCCCGCCCUUCUCCCCCGGGUCUGCAGUACCGUUGGUUUUGCUCUAGAGAUCCGACGCGGUGAGACUGCUGAGCGGGGCAGCGCCAGAAGCCAUUAGGAAUCGUUGGCUCUUUCUGGCAGUUAUUUCAGCUUGUUCUUCGUAGAUAAAAGGUAAAAUUUAGGCUUUAACAUAAUUUUAUUUUAUUAAGUUUAUAUUAUUUAGAUCAAAUAUGCCUUGUUACAUCGUUUAGUGCCCCACGCAUCCGGAUUGAGACCCACUAUACGGUUGUCUGAAGUGUGUCGCACUGAGAUCGGUGAGCAUAUUCGGAGCCUUUUAUUUGUGUUUUUGUCGUUUGUUACAUUGUUGUUAAAAAAAUAUCCGUUGUUUUAGUAACUAGGUAAUGUUUUGUUACUGUGUUGGAAAGAAGGAUUAAAGCUAGAACGGCUUGGUAAAGUCCUGUAUUUCUGCUGGUCCUGUCUGUUGACAGGUCAGGUUUUUUUUUAUACUGGAUCAUUCCUGAAGUGGAUCCCUCCUUUGAUAUUGAUGGCGAGCCUUCCCACCUGGACCUAAAGAGAGAACCAGAUUUCGUCUACCCCAUUUGGAGUCAUGCUGCACCCUGCGGUGUGGUAGGAGAGCAACAUACAUCUUCACACACGGUUAUGUGUGAAACCUACAACUGACAUUCUCCAUUAUUAUUGUUUUUUUUAUUUAUUGAUUUUUGGACAAUACUGUUUGGAUUGUUUUAUUUCGGACAUUGUGACGCACAGCUGUGGUGGAAAUUCUCCUGUGAAUGAAGUUGAAUCAAACCAAAUUGGGAUUAAUUUGAUUAAUCUGCUGACUAAUACAAUUUGGAGUGCAGAUUACCAGGGUGCACCCGAAUUAUUUGAAAUUAAGAAUUAGCACUUGGCCAAGUAUUAUUGUUAUUUCUUUUUUUUUCAUUUUAUUGUGUGUAAUUUUAUUUUCAUAAUUGUGUGUUUUGUGCAACUGUUAAUUGUGUGUUUUCUGUCACUAAAACCAGUUCUUUAAAUACA